CAGCCCGAUCAUUGGGAUGUCUGAGUGACUAAUGAGCAGAUUGCAUAUGUAGAAGAGGAUACAUUAAAGAAAAGUGAUCCAAGCCCUUGGGAAGUUGCAGUGGAGAUGGAAUCCUUGUAUGUUUAACACCAGAACUCAGUCAACUCUGGAUGAAGAUUCUUGAGUACACGGGAAAUCUUAGUCUUUUUGCAUUCCAUCCGGCAUUAGCAACUAUUUCCUGAAGGUAGGAGAAACUGCCGGCCAGUCUACCCAAGCCACAGGUACCCAGGCCAGUCUGCAUGAGCAUGCGCAGCAGGAACUUCCUCCCUGAGCCAAGCCAGCCUCUAUACCCAGAGACUGCUGAUGAGGAGAAUCUUGACCUGGAGUCACCAAUGAGAAAAGGACAAUGCAAGAGAGCCAGCUGCCUGAGCCAAUGGGGCCUUGGCAUGGGGUACAAAGGCAGGACUAACUUCCUUAAUAAAGGAGUCUGUAGCAUGCUCUGCUACUCACUGACUCUCAGUGCCCAGUUGUAAGUACUGCAUCUUCUCAGCCCCUCCCCCAAGGAGUGUCCGAGCAGGGUAACCUGUAACACCUGUGCCUAGUAACGUCUGUGCCUAGUAACACCUGUGCCUAGAUGUGGGGCUCGUGGAUCCAGCGCUGGCAUGGGUCUCAACCUCACUUGAAUCUGGGUUUUUCCAUCGCUGUGGCUGUUUCUGUGCCCUGAUCUUUGCCUUUUGUUGCUGGAGUUGCAUUGGCAGAUGGAUCCUACAUCAUUGCACUUUGACUUUCUCUGUCAGCACCCUUUGGACUCCCCUUCAUACCUGCAGCAUGUUUCCGCGCCCUCUCUUCGGUGACUUGUUCG
rnacentral:lncRNA from 1 species